UGCUUGGUAGCUCAGUGGUUGAGUGCAUGCUUUAUAUGUAUGAUGUCCUGGGUUCAAUCCUCAGCUUCUCUC
rnacentral:tRNA from 1 species